rnacentral:rRNA from 1 species
UACGAAGGUCCCAAGCGUUGUUCGGAAUUAUUGGGCGUAAAGCGUAUGUAGGCGGCUAGGUAAGUCAGGCGUGCAAGCCCGUGGCUCAACCACGGAAUUGCGUUUGAAACUGUUUAGCUUGAGUACAGGAGAGGAAAGCGGAAUUCCCAGUGUAGCGGUGAAAUGCAUUGAUAUUGGGAAGAACAUCUGUGGCGAAGGCGGCUUUCUGGUCUGUUACUGACGCUGAGAUACGAAAGCCAGGGUAGCGAACGGG